rnacentral:lncRNA from 1 species
UCUAAUUAAAAAAGGAAACAAGCGUUGAAGAGAAAAGGAAACUUUAAGGAAACAAUGGAAAGUUUCCUUUUUGUUUUGGAAGAACCUAAUGCCUAUAAAUACAGACCCGAGAGAAUGCUAAUCUCCAACAUCACUCAUUCUCUCUUCUUCCUUGAGAUAUCAAAAUUCACUCUUCUUCUUCGAUACCAUAACAAAUCUUUCAUUCUCUUGUCUUUUUGUAAACACAACUAUCGUUUUUGAUCUUUCAUUCUCUCGUCUUUUCAACAAACAAACAACUAUCGUAACAUUGAUCCCCAUCCUCUCUUGUGACUCAUCUUCAACCCGAUCCAAACGAUUUCAAAUCCGGUCAACGACGGGCCACCGAAACGCUUUCACCGACUGCCAAGGAGAGCACCAAGACAAUGAUACAAACAACUAUCGUAACAUUGAUCUCCAUCCAAACAUACAAUGAUACAAACAACUAUCGUAACAUUGAUCUCCAUCCUCUCUUGUGACUCACCUUCAACCCGAUCCAAACGAUUUCACCGACGGCCAAGGAAAGAGGAAAACGAAGAAAGAGACAAAGAGAGACGGUGUUUCCAUGGCUCUGUUUUGUGUCG